rnacentral:piRNA from 1 species
UACAACUGGGAAAUAUGAUGGUAUUUGUAG